rnacentral:tRNA from 1 species
AGAAGGUUGGCCGAGAGGUUUAAGGCACUACACUGCUAACGUAGCGGAGAGUAAUCUUCCAUAGGUUCAAAUCCUAUACCUUCUG